rnacentral:rRNA from 1 species
GUGGGGAAUCUUGCGCAAUGGGCGAAAGCCUGACGCAGCCAUGCCGCGUGAAUGAUGAAGGUCUUAGGAUUGUAAAAUUCUUUCACCGGGGACGAUAAUGACGGUACCCGGAGAAGAAGCCCCGGCUAACUUCGUGCCAGCAGCCGCGGUAAUACGAAGGGGGCUAGCGUUGCUCGGAAUUACUGGGCGUAAAGGGCGCGUAGGCGGAUCGUUAAGUCAGGGGUGAAAUCCCAGAGCUCAACGCUGGAACUGCCCUUGAUACUGGCGAUCUUGAGUGUGAGAGAGGUAGGUGGAACUCCGAGUGUAGAGGUGAAAUUCGUAGAUAUUCGGAAGAACACCAGUGGCGAAGGCGACAUACUGGCUCAUUACUGACGCUGAGGCGCGAAAGCGUGGGGAGCAAACAGGAUUAGAUACCCCAGUAGUCC